GAUGAACGCUGGCGGCGUGCCUAAUACAUGCAAGUCGAGCGAAUGGAUUAAGAGCUUGCUCUUAUGAAGUUAGCGGCGGACGGGUGAGUAACACGUGGGUAAUCUGCCCAUAUGACUGGGAUAACUCCGGGAAACCGGGGCUAAUACCGGAUAACAUUUUGAACCGCAUGGUUCGAAAUUGAAAGGCGGCUUCGGCUGUCACUUAUGGAUGGACCCGCGUCGCAUUAGCUAGUUGGUGAGGUAACGGCUCACCAAGGCAACGAUGCGUAGCCGACCUGAGGGGGUGAUCGGCCACACUGGGACUGGGACACGGCCCAGACUCCUACGGGAGGCAGCAGUAGGGAAUCUUCCGCAAUGGACGAAAGUCUGACGGAGCAACGCCGCGUGAGUGAUGAAGGCUUUCGGGUCGUAAAACUCUGUUGUUAGGGAAGAACAAGUGCUAGUUGAAUAAGCUGGCACCUUGACGGUACCUAACCAGAAAGCCACGGCUAACUACGUGCCAGCCGCCGCAGUAA
rnacentral:rRNA from 1 species